rnacentral:rRNA from 1 species
AUUGAACGCUGGCGGCAGGCCUAACACAUGCAAGUCGAACGAGUGGCGGACGGGUGAGUAAUGUCUGGGAAACUGCCUGAUGGAGGGGGAUAACUACUGGAAACGGUAGCUAAUACCGCAUACCAUCAGAUGCGCCCAGAUGGGAUUAGCUAGUUGGUGGGGUAACGGCUCACCAAGGCGACGAUCCCUAGCUGGUCUGAGAGGAUGACCAGCCAUACUGGAACGAAGAAACGGUCCAGACCCCUAGGGGGGGCAGAAGGGGGGAAUAUGGCACAAUGGGCGAAAGCUUGAUGCAGCCAUGCCGCGUGUAUGAAGAAGGCCUGCGGGUUGUAACGUACUUUCAGCGGGGAGGCGUUACCCGCAGAAGAAGCACCGGCUAACUCCGUGCCAGCAGCCGCGGUAAUC